UGAUUAACCUACUUAUUUGUAAUGGACAUAAAAUAUCCGUUACGAGUAAAAGUUGGAAUUUUUUUUUUAUUUUUAUUUUGCACAGAUUCAAAUCUAACCCUAAAUUAUUUCCAAUUCCCCCUAUUAAAUCCGUUUUGCGUGUCGUCCCUCAUUCACUUUUCCUCAUUGAAGCCUAGAUUUGUUCCCCGUUGAAGCGCAAUCUCUUCUCCGGUGCCUUCUCCGUCGCCGGUCACCGUCCCUUCUCUCGCCUUUUCGUCUCUUUCUCCAUGUUCCCCAUUGAAGCGCAAUCUCAGCCUUUUCGUCUCUUUCUCCCUUCUCUCGCCGGUCCUCUCUUUCUGGUUUGUCCGUCGCCGGUCUUGGGAUUGUUGGGCCUGUGUGUGCCGAAAAUUGUAGGCUGCCUGGUUUAUCAAAGGAACUCCGGUGGGUGGUGGUUUGUUGGGUGGUGGAAAUUGGAGAAGCUUUGUUUAGGGCGGUGAAAUUUGAAUGCUGAUGUCGGAUGCCCUAAAUUGAAGACAGUUGGCUUGAAAUGUCACAGGUGCCAAAUACUAUUUAGGAAUCAGGAAUCGAAGAUCACUCAAUAGGAAGCUCAUCAUAAAUUCAUCAGACUUGCUGAUGUUGGAUGCCCUAAAUUGAAGACAGUUGGCUUAAAAUGUCACAGUAGGGGUUAUCCUGAACUCUUUCUCCCUCGCAAGUUCCUCGUUUCCCCCUCGCAACUCCGGUGGGUGGUGGUUUCUUGCGAUUUUUUCCGGCAUGUGAAGAACUUAAGGUAAUAAGUUUACUUUACUCAAAGUAAUAAGUUUUAUUUUUUUCCGAGCCUUAAUUUUUAGAAAAAUUAAAUCUGUUAAGGUUUUCAUAUAAUUUU